rnacentral:rRNA from 1 species
UACGAAGGGGGCUAGCGUUGUUCGGAAUCACUGGGCGUAAAGGGCGCGUAGGCGGCCGAUCAAGUCGGGGGUGAAAGCCCGUGGCUCAACCACAGAAUGGCCUUCGAUACUGUUUGGCUUGAGACCGGAAGAGGUCAGUGGAACUGCGAGUGUAGAGGUGAAAUUCGUAGAUAUUCGCAAGAACACCAGUGGCGAAGGCGGCUGACUGGUCCGGUUCUGACGCUGAGGCGCGAAAGCGUGGGGAGCAAACAGG